AGCCCGGUGGUGUAGCGGCCAAGCAUGGCGGGCUUUGGACCCGCAGAGCCUCAGGGCGCGGAGAUCCCGGGUUCGAAUCCCGGCCGGGCUACCA
rnacentral:tRNA from 1 species